rnacentral:rRNA from 1 species
UGGAUCCAGACUUUGAUUAUGGCUCAGGACGAACGCUGGCGGCGUGCCUAACACAUGCAAGUCGAACGAAGCUUGAUUUAUGAUUUCUUCGGAAUGAAUAAUGAUAUGACUGAGUGGCGGACGGGUGAGUAACGCGUGAGCAACCUGCCCUUCGGAACGGGAUAGCGUCUGGAAACGGACGGUAAUACCGUAUAACGUAUUUUUACCGCAUGAUAGAAAUACCAAAACUGAGGUGCCGAAGGAUGGGCUCGCGUCUGAUUAGAUAGUUGGUGGGGUAACGGCCUACCAAGUCGACGAUCAGUAGCCGGACUGAGAGGUUGAACGGCCACAUUGGGACUGAGACACGGCCCAGACUCCUACGGGAGGCAGCAGUGGGGAAUAUUGCACAAUGGGGGAAACCCUGAUGCAGCAACGCCGCGUGAAGGAAGACGGUUUUCGGAUUGUAAACUUCUGUUCUUGGUGAAGAUAAUGACGGUAGCUAAGGAGCAAGCCACGGCUAACUACGUGCCAGCAGCCGCGGUAAUACGUAGGUGGCAAGCGUUGUCCGGAAUUACUGGGUGUAAAGGGAGCGUAGGCGGGAAGCCAAGUCAGCUGUGAAAACUACGGGCUUAACCUGUAGACUGCAGUUGAAACUGGUUUUCUUGAGUGAAGUAGAGGUUGGCGGAAUUCCGAGUGUAGCGGUGAAAUGCGUAGAUAUUCGGAGGAACACCGGUGGCGAAGGCGGCCAACUGGGCUUUAACUGACGCUGAGGCUCGAAAGUGUGGGGAGCAAACAGGAUUAGAUACCCUGGUAGUCCACACUGUAAACGAUGAUAACUAGGUGUGGGGGGUCUGACCCCUUCCGUGCCGCAGCUAACGCAAUAAGUUAUCCACCUGGGGAGUACGACCGCAAGGUUGCAACUCAAAU